rnacentral:rRNA from 1 species
ACUCUAAGCGGUGGAUCACUCGGCUCAUGGGUCGAUGAAGAACGCAGCAAACUGUGCGUCAUCGUGUGAACUGCAGGACACAUGAACAUCGACAUUUUGAACGCAUAUCGCAGUCCAUGCUGUUAUGUACUUUAAUUAAUUUUAUAGUGCUGCUUGGACUACAUAUGGUUGAGGGUUGUAAGACUAUGCUAAUUAAGUUGCUUAUAAAUUUUUAUAAGCAUAUGGUAUAUUAUUGGAUAAAUAUAAUAAUUUUUAUUCAUAAUAUUAAAAAAUAAAUGAAAAACAUUAUCUCACAUUUGAAUGUGAAAAACGAAGAGAAAUAUUUUCUUUUUCAAUCAAAUAAUACUGAGAAAUGUCUAGCAUAAAAAAUUGAAAUAUUUUUCAUCUAGAAUUGUCUCUUAUUAAUGAUUCGGAAAUAGAAAAAUCUUGGUUAUGUUAUUAUUCUUCGUUGGUUCGUUAAAAAUGGAUAAAUAAAAACUUUGCAUACAAGAAUUAAUAAAAAUGUUAUAACGAAUUUAAUUAAAUGUUUUAUCAUUAUAUAUAAAGAAUUUAUGGCAAGAUAAAGUUAUAUACAACCUCAACUCAUAUGGGACUACCCCUGAAUUUAAGCAUAUUAAUUAGGGGAGGAAAAGAAACUAACAAGGAUUUUCUUAGUAGCGGCGAGCGAAAAGAAAACAGUUCAGCACUAAGUCACUUUGUCUAUAUGGCAAAUGUGAGAUGCAGUGUAUGGAGCGUCAAUAUUCUAGUAUGAGAAAUUAACGAUUUAAGUCCUUCUUAAAUGAGGCCAUUUACCCAUAGAGGGUGCCAGGCCCGUAUAACGUUAAUGAUUACUAGAUGAUGUUUCCAAAGAGUCGUGUUGCUUGAUAGUGCAGCACUAAGUGGGUGGUAAACUCCAUCUAAAACUAAAUAUAACCAUGAGACCGAUAGUAAACAAGUACCGUGAGGGAAAGUUGAAAAGAACUCUGAAUAGAGAGUUAAACAGUACGUGAAACUGCUUAGAGGUUAAGCCCGAUGAACCUGAAUAUCCGUUAUGGAAAAUUCAUCAUUAAAAUUGUAAUAUUUAAAUAAUAUUAUGAGAAUAGUGUGCAUUUUUUCCAUAUAAGGACAUUGUAAUCUAUUAGCAUAUACCAAAUUUAUCAUAAAAUAUAACUUAUAGUUUAUUCCAAUUAAAUUGCUUGCAUUUUAACACAGAAUAAAUGUUAUUAAUUUGAUAAAGUGCUGAUAGAUUUAUAUGAUUACAGUGCGUUAAUUUUUCGGAAUUAUAUAAUGGCAUAAUUAUCAUUGAUUUUUGUGUUUAUUAUAUGCACUUGUAUGAUUAACAAUGCGAAAGAUUCAGGAUACCUUCGGGACCCGUCUUGAAACACGGACCAAGGAGUCUAACAUAUGUGCAAGUUAUUGGGAUAUAAACCUAAUAGCGUAAUUAACUUGACUAAUAAUGGGAUUAGUUUUUUAGCUAUUUAUAGCUAAUUAACACAAUCCCGGGGCGUUCUAUAUAGUUAUGUAUAAUGUAUAUUUAUAUUAUUUAUGCCUCUAACUGGAACGUACCUUGAGCAUAUAUGCUGUGACCCGAAAGAUGGUGAACUAUACUUGAUCAGGUUGAAGUCAGGGGAAACCCUGAUGGAAGACCGAAACAGUUCUGACGUGCAAAUCGAUUGUCAGAAUUGAGUAUAGGGGCGAAAGACCAAUCGAACCAUCUAGUAGCUGGUUCCUUCCGAAGUUUCCCUCAGGAUAGCUGGUGCAUUUUAAUAUUAUAUAAAAUAAUCUUAUCUGGUAAAGCGAAUGAUUAGAGGCCUUAGGGUCGAAACGAUCUUAACCUAUUCUCAAACUUUAAAUGGGUAAGAACCUUAACUUUCUUGAUAUGAAGUUCAAGGUUAUGAUAUAAUGUGCCCAGUGGGCCACUUUUGGUAAGCAGAACUGGCGCUGUGGGAUGAACCAAACGUAAUGUUACGGUGCCCAAAUUAACAACUCAUGCAGAUACCAUGAAAGGCGUUGGUUGCUUAAAACAGCAGGACGGUGAUCAUGGAAGUCGAAAUCCGCUAAGGAGUGUGUAACAACUCACCUGCCGAAGCAACUAGCCCUUAAAAUGGAUGGCGCUUAAGUUGUAUACCUAUACAUUACCGCUAAAGUAGAUGAUUUAUAUUACUUGUGAUAUAAAUUUUGAAACUUUAGUGAGUAGGAAGGUACAAUGGUAUGCGUAGAAGUGUUUGGCGUAAGCCUGCAUGGAGCUGCCAUUGGUACAGAUCUUGGUGGUAGUAGCAAAUAAUCGAAUGAGACCUUGGAGGACUGAAGUGGAGAAGGGUUUCGUGUGAACAGUGGUUGAUCACGAGUUAGUCGGUCCUAAGUUCAAGGCGAAAGCCGAAAAUUUUCAAGUAAAACAAAAAUGCCUAACUAUAUAAACAAAGCGAAUUAUAAUACACUUGAAUAAUUUUGAACGAAAGGGAAUACGGUUCCAAUUCCGUAACCUGUUGAGUAUCCGUUUGUUAUUAAAUAUGGGCCUCGUGCUCAUCCUGGCAACAGGAACGACCAUAAAGAAGCCGUCGAGAGAUAUCGGAAGAGUUUUCUUUUCUGUUUUAUAGCCGUACUACCAUGGAAGUCUUUCGCAGAGAGAUAUGGUAGAUGGGCUAGAAGAGCAUGACAUAUACUGUUGUGUCGAUAUUUUCUCCUCGGACCUUGAAAAUUUAUGGUGGGGACACGCAAACUUCUCAACAGGCCGUACCAAUAUCCGCAGCUGGUCUCCAAGGUGAAGAGUCUCUAGUCGAUAGAAUAAUGUAGGUAAGGGAAGUCGGCAAAUUAGAUCCGUAACUUCGGGAUAAGGAUUGGCUCUGAAGAUUGAGAUAGUCGGGCUUGAUUGGGAAACAAUAACAUGGUUUAUGUGCUCGUUCUGGGUAAAUAGAGUUUCUAGCAUUUAUGUUAGUUACUUGUUCCCCGGAUAGUUUAGUUACGUAGCCAAUUGUGGAACUUUCUUGCUAAAAUUUUUAAGAAUACUAUUUGGGUUAAACCAAUUAGUUCUUAUUAAUUAUAACGAUUAUCAAUUAACAAUCAAUUCAGAACUGGCACGGACUUGGGGAAUCCGACUGUCUAAUUAAAACAAAGCAUUGUGAUGGCCCUAGCGGGUGUUGACACAAUGUGAUUUCUGCCCAGUGCUCUGAAUGUCAAAGUGAAGAAAUUCAAGUAAGCGCGGGUCAACGGCGGGAGUAACUAUGACUCUCUUAAGGUAGCCAAAUGCCUCGUCAUCUAAUUAGUGACGCGCAUGAAUGGAUUAACGAGAUUCCUACUGUCCCUAUCUACUAUCUAGCGAAACCACAGCCAAGGGAACGGGCUUGGAAUAAUUAGCGGGAAAGAAGACCCUUUUGAGCUUGACUCUAAUCUGGCAGUGUAAGGAGACAUAAGAGGUGUAGAAUAAGUGGGAGAUAUUAGACCUCGGUUUGGUAUCGUCAAUGAAAUACCACUACUCUUAUUGUUUCCUUACUUACUUGAUUAAAUGGAACGUGUAUCAUUUCCUAGCCAU